UACAGAGGGUGCAAGCGUUGCUCGGAAUUAUUGGGCGUAAAGCGCGUGUAGGCGGCUUUGCAAGUCGGGUGUGAAAGCCCUCAGCUCAACUGAGGAAGUGCGCCCGAAACUGCAGAGCUUGAGUGCCGGAGAGGGUGGCGGAAUUCCCCAAGUAGAGGUGAAAUUCGUAGAGAUGGGGAGGAACACCGGUGGCGAAGGCGGCCACCUGGACGGUAACUGACGCUGAGACGCGAAAGCGUGGGUAGCAAACAGG
rnacentral:rRNA from 1 species